AACGUAGGAGACAAACGUUAUCCGGAGUUACUGGGCGUAAAGGGCGUGUAGGUGGUUUAGUAAGUCUGGCGUGAAAUUUUUCGGCUUAACCGGGAAAGGUCGUCGGAUACUGCAAGACUAGAGGACGGUAGAGGCGUGUGGAAUUCUGGGUGUAGUGGUGAAAUGCGUAGAGAUCCGGAGGAACACCAGUGGCGAAGGCGACACGCUGGGCCGUACCUGACACUGAUGCGCGACAGCAUGGGGAGCAAACAGG
rnacentral:rRNA from 1 species